UGUCGGUCCCCCCGCAACGAUUACCCGUCAACCUGGUCAGGUCCGGAAGGAAGCAGCCACAGCGGGAACAU
rnacentral:SRP_RNA from 1 species